GCCACAGCUCAUCAUGGAGAGGGUGAGAGGGAUUAUCCAGGAUGGCUCGCAGUUUGUCCAUCAAUAGGCUGCUACUAUUGGCCUGGUAUGGAAGGGGACAUAUGGAAAUGGAUUGCUCAGUGCCCAGAUUGCCAGGCCAAGCGCUCAAGCCUCAAGGAAAAAAACACAGUAAAACCCAUUAAUGGUAAAGUAUAUUUUGCAACUGCCAUCCCGUACAGCUAGAUGUGAUAAAACACCACAUACCUGAAGAAGAGUUGAACGUAAUCUAACUUUGACAGCUGACUGAACCUUUCGAGUUGGGGGGAAUGGACCUUUUGAAACUUACUGUGAUUGAGGGUGGUAAUCAAUCCGUUUGUGUGAUGGUUGAUUAUUUCACAAAGUGGGCAGAGGCCUACCCUCUGAAGACUAAAACUGCAGAAGAGGUAUUCUUGACUUUGUAUACAAGUUUGGUACACCUCAGAGGCUGCUUACAGACCAAGGUACAGAGUUUAAGAACAAGGUAUGAAACUAAUGACACAUCUCUUGUUUCUCUGCAAGCUAAAGCAAAAGCUGACUCGUUUUCUAAAAUGGAAUUUCAGAUCAACACAAAGCUAUGCAAAACGUGAAACAUCAGGAGAAGCUUCUGUUCCCCAUAUCACCCCCAAACCAACGGCCUGGUUGAGAAGCUCAAUGGAACAAUUCAAAGGUUACAAGAGAGAGGGCAGAAGAACUGGUGCAGAGGGAAGAGCCAUUCAAUGGACUGGACCACCAAGAGAAAGUACACUGCU